rnacentral:RNase_P_RNA from 1 species
ACAGAUGGAAUAUAACCGUGCUGCCUUUCGCUGAUGAUAACGGAAGGCGGUGAGAGAAAGUCCGGGCUCCUUCGGAAAGAAUGCCGGGUAACAACCGGGCACAAUCUGGCAGCUGUAGAUUUUCUGCAUAGCCCAGUGCGUGACAGAUAGUGCAACAGAAAUUGUACCGCCCGCUGCAAAGCGAGUAAGGGUGAAAAGGCAGUGUAAGAGACUACCGGUCAUGUCGGUAACGGCUGACGCUUGUAAACCUCAUUCGGAGCAAGAUUAAGCAGCAGUUAAGUUAUUCCGAGCUAUACUGCGGGUAAAUCGCUGGAGCUGAAUGGUAACAUUCAGUGCGGAUAGAUGGUUAUGCCUGCUUUUCUGUUUUUACAGGAAAGUGGAGAACAGAACCCGGCUUACCGUUCCAUCUGUUUUU